UACGUAGGGCGCAAGCGUUGUCCGGAAUUAUUGGGCGUAAAGAGCUCGUAGGCGGUUUGUUACGUCCGCUGUGAAAACCCAGGGCUUAACCCUGGGCUUGCAGUGGAUACGGGCAGACUAGAGGUAGGUAGGGGAGAAUGGAAUUCCCGGUGUAGCGGUGAAAUGCGCAGAUAUCGGGAGGAACACCGAUGGCGAAGGCAAUCCCCUGGGCCUGCACUGACGCUCAUGCACGAAAGCGUGGGGAGCAAACAGG
rnacentral:rRNA from 1 species